UGCAGAAGCAGGCAAACAAUCCUGCAUGA
rnacentral:piRNA from 1 species